AGAGUUUGAUCCUGGCUCAGGACGAACGCUGGCGGCGUGCUUAACACAUGCAAGUCGAACGGUAAGGCCCCUUUUUUUGGGGUGUACGAGUGGCGAACGGGUGAGUAACACGUGAGUAACCUGCCCCAGACUUUGGGAUAACAGUUGGAAACGAUUGCUAAUACUGGAUAUGAGCUGCUGCCGCAUGGUGGUGGUUUGAAAGUUCCGGCGGUUUGGGAUGGGCUCGCGGCCUAUCAGCUUGUUGGUGAGGUGAUGGCUUACCAAGGCUUCGACGGGUAGCCGGCCUGAGAGGGCGACCGGCCACAUUGGGACUGAGAUACGGCCCAAACUCCUACGGGAGGCAGCAGUGGGGAAUAUUGCACAAUGGACGGAAGUCUGAUGCAGCAACGCCGCGUGCGGGAUGACGGCCUUCGGGUUGUAAACCGCUUUCAAUUGUGACGAAGCUUUUUGUGACGGUAGCAGUAGAAGAAGCACCGGCUAACUACGUGCCAGCAGCCGCGGUGAUACGUAGGGUGCGAGCGUUGUCCGGAUUUAUUGGGCGUAAAGAGCUUGUAGGUGGUUUGUCGCGUCGGGAGUGAAAACUCAGGGCUUAACUCUGAGCUUGCUUUCGAUACGGGCUGACUUGAGGGAGGUAGGGGAGAAUGGAAUUCCUGGUGGAGCGGUGGAAUGCGCAGAUAUCAGGAGGAACACCGGUGGCGAAGGCGGUUCUCUGGACCUUUCCUGACGCUGAGAAGCGAAAGCGUGGGGAGCGAACAGGCUUAGAUACCCUGGUAGUCCACGCUGUAAACGGUGGGUACUAGGUGUGGGGGACAUUCCACGUUCUCCGUGCCGUAGCUAACGCAUUAAGUACCCCGCCUGGGGAGUACGGCCGCAAGGCUAAAACUCAAAGGAAUUGACGGGGCCCCGCACAAGCGGCGGAGCAUGCGGAUUAAUUCGAUGCAACGCGAAGAACCUUA
rnacentral:rRNA from 1 species